AUUUGAUCAUGCUAUCGAACCAGGCUAGCUAAGAUGCCACAGAUGAAAGGGGAAUGGCUACGUACAAGAUCUGGUUGAUUUGUAGUUCAGCAAUGUUGUUGGAACCCCCCUGCCAUAUCAGGAGCUGUUACAGAAGGCUGAGGCAGUGGCCAUACACCAGUCCUGCUUGAGAGUAAUGGAGGACACUUGAAUCAGGAGCUGGGUCGGAUAUAGGAGCCGUAGUCGGGCUUCUGCAUGACCAGUAUCUGUGAUGAGAGGGACCUGGAGCUGAUCUACGCUGCCAUGCCAAUCAGGCGUUGGCAAACGCCUCAAAAGGGACAAACAGUGAUUACUAAUAAGACAGUACAUCAUUAUCACCCUUUCAAUGUGUCACUCAUCAACUCUUCCUUGGUUUUCUACAGAUGGGAAGAAGAGUUGCUUUUCAGAUGGAGUCCUCUGACUGAAAGACAGGUUAAUACUGAUGUCAGAAUUGGGAGAGACCUUGCAACUCAGCAUAAAAAUUUUACAAGACAUCUA
ensembl:lncRNA